rnacentral:tRNA from 1 species
GCCUCCUUAGCUCAGUCGGCAGAGCGCUUCCAUGGUAAGGAAGAGGUCAACAGUUCAAUUCUGUUAGGAGGCUCCA